CCUACGGGAGGCAGCAGUGAGGAAUAUUGGUCAAUGGACGAGAGUCUGAACCAGCCAAGUAGCGUGAAGGAUGACUGCCCUAUGGGUUGUAAACUUCUUUUAUAUGGGAAUAAAAUGUUCCACGUGUGGGAUUUUGUAUGUACCAUAUGAAUAAGGAACGGCUAACUCCGUGCCAGCAGCCGCGGUAAUACGGAGGAUCCGAGCGUUAUCCCGAUUUAUUGGGUUUAAAGGGAGAGUAGGUGGAUUGUUAAGUCAGUUGGGAAAGUUUGCGGCUCAAACGUAAAAUUGCAGUUGAAACUGGCAGUCUUGAGUACAGUAGAGGUGGGCGGAAUUCGUGGUGUAGCGGUGAAAUGCUUAGAUAUCACGAAGAACUCCGAUUGCGAAGGCAGCUCACUGGACUGCAACUGACACUGAGGCUCGAAAGUGUGGGUAUCAAACAGGAUUAGAUACCCUUGUAGUC
rnacentral:rRNA from 1 species